ACAACGGUUUUUUUAAAAACCAACAAUAGCGGGUAAAAUAAAAUG
rfam:Bombyx mori DNA, contig: Bm_scaf18_contig13185, strain: p50T/Dazao, build 2, whole genome shotgun sequence.